rnacentral:rRNA from 1 species
UACAGAGGUCUCAAGCGUUGUUCGGAUUCAUUGGGCGUAAAGGGUGCGUAGGUGGCGGGGUUAGUCAGGUGUGAAAUCUCGGGGCUCAACCCCGAAACUGCACUUGAUACUGCCUUGCUAGAGUACUGGAGAGGAGAUUGGAAUUUACGGUGUAGCAGUGAAAUGCGUAGAUAUCGUAAGGAAGACCAGUGGCGAAGGCGAAUCUCUGGACAGUUACUGACACUGAGGCACGAAGGCCAGAGGAGCAAACGGG